rnacentral:rRNA from 1 species
AGCAGCCGCGGUAAUUCCAGCUCCAAUAGCGUAUAUUAAAGUUGUUGCAGUUAAAAAGCUCGUAGUUGAAUUUCGGGAUCAGUGGGUCGGUCGUGCCACUGGUAUGCACUGGCCCUACUGGUUCCUCCUUCUUGAAGAACUGUAAUGCCAUUAAUUUGGUGUUGCAGGGAAACAGGACUGUUACUUUGAAAAAUUAGAGUGUUUAAAGCAGGCAAUCGCUUGAAUACAUUAGCAUGGAAUAAUGAAAUAGGACGAUCGAUCCUAUUUUGUUGGUUUCUAGGAUUGACGUAAUGAUUAAUAGGGAUAGUUGGGGGCAUUAGUAUUCAAUUGUCAGAGGUGAAAUUCUUGGAUUUAUUGAAGACUAACUACUGCGAAAGCAUUUGCCAAGGAUGUUUUCAUUAAUCAAGAACGAAAGUUAGGGGAUCGAAGACGAUCAGAUACCGUCGUAGUCUUAACCAUAAACUAUGCCGA